GAUUCCGAGUAAAAUAAAAUACACCCGUCUUUUAAAAGUUAAUAUGUGUCUUUCUUUAAUCACGUUCAAUAGCAAGUAUCUUUCUAUUGUACAAAAACGACUGUCUGUGUCCGCGGUCCGUUGCAACUACAAAACUACUCUGUCUUCUUCUCGUCCGUUUCUCUUGUAUGUGUUGUGUGUUAUUCAGGGCUGUCAUGGAAUCCAAUUGUUGUCGGAAUUGGAUUUAAAAACGACAAAAAAAUUACUUUGGUGUCAUGAAAUCCAAUGUUAUCGGUUUUAUGUUCGAAUCGGAAUUAGUGUCGAUUUUAGGUGUCACAGAAACCAAUAAUAUCGAUUUUGCUAUCGGAAACAAACCAAGCAGCUAACGGCUGUUGGAUUUCAUUUGUUUAUUAGUUUUCCUUACUUCCAGUUGGAUAUUUUAUAAAAAUAGCCGGGAUAGAGUGCAUCGACGGCUCGAAUUUUCAUGUCACCAUCACACAUCUAAAUAAAAAUGUACAUGCAUAUAUAUAAAUCAAGGCAAUGUACGAGUAAAAUGAAGAUUCAUGAUUACUUACAAUCAGGGCAUUCAUACUGAAUUAUUUUCGAUUAUAAAAUAAAUGUUCGUCAAUACUGGGCUUAAUGAUUUUUAUGUGUGUCCCGUCGAUGCAACCAAUUAUUGAGGGAAUUUUGUACUUUAAGUAAAAAUAGUCUCUUGAUAUGCGCUUUUCGAUGCAGUCCAUUUCUAGUUUCACCCACUGAGGGCAAAUGAACCGCUCCAUAACCUUAAGCACAUCAUCUAAAAUCGUUGACACCGCGCUUCUAGCUACACUUAUGCUAGAAUCGUUCCCGACUGAUCUUUGACAGGAUCCUUCUGCUAAAAAUCGCAACGAAGCUGCUAACUGCAGCACUGGUGGAACUUUCGAACGUGUCAAGUGCCCUUCAAUGGUGUCAAGUACCUCUUUGUUUAGGCGAUAAUAUGCUAUGAAACUGCAAAUACGCUAUAAAUAUUUAUAAACGCAUAUUAAAAAACAAUCUACUUACGCUGUCUCGGGCAGCUCAAGUGGAUCGCCGCAAUCUCUCAAAAUUUUUCUUUUAACCUUCUCGGAACUUUCUUCUUCCAAGAACAGAAAUGCGAUAACUGCGGAUGUCAUUUUGCGUUCACUUACUUUUAUUUACUUUUAUUUAAAUUAAUGAAAACAAUUCAAUUUUAAAAAAUUGUGUCAAAAAAAUGUACAUUCAAAUUGCCGCCAUGCACACAAAUGAGCAAAACAGCUGAUUCGAACAUCGGUUUUGUUUAUGUUCGAAAAGAGCAAAACCAAUCCGGUUUCAUGACACCAAAUGAAACCAAUAUUGGUUUG